UUGGUGUAAAGAAGCAACAUCUACCUUCUC
rnacentral:piRNA from 1 species